CACAUGACUGUUGUAAAAGUACCAGACACACACGAUCAUUGUGCUCACUAUUAUUGCGUUUUCUUGACAGUUGUGAACUCAAGGAAAACAGUCUGUUCCAGUCCAGCUCUCUCUCUCCCCGCUUGACUCUGGCUUCACUAUAUAGAGAAAUAGAAAGAGACUCCAUCAUCAGUCAAUCACCACCACCUGUGCUCACCUGCUUCCCGGUACUGAUCCCUUGAGCUCACUGCACCACUCCUCCCCUGCAGCUGCACCAGGGACCACACCUCAGCCACAACUGUAUUUCUUGUGUAACAAUUGUAAAAGAUCAUUUUUUUUAUUUGCUUGGAUGAAUCUGUCAUUUCAGUACAUCUUUAUUGUCUUCAUUAUCUUUUUUUUUUCAUCACUUAUUGGUUCCACAAUAAGUGGAACCAUGCUGAAGGUAUUUCUGCUUGGAUGCUUCCUAUGCCUCACUCCAGUUCAACCAAUUGUCAAUGUGUAUGAAAAGUAUGGUGGCUCUCACCACGGCUGAUAUGAGAUCACCACGAACAACAAUAUUUCCCUGCAGCAACUUCUCUC